rnacentral:rRNA from 1 species
UACGUAGGUGGCAAGCGUUGUCCGGAAUUAUUGGGCGUAAAGGGCGCGUAGGCGGUAAUGUAAGUCAGAUGUGAAAUCCCGGGGCUCAACCCCGGAACAGCAUUUGAAACUACAUUUCUAGAGGGUAAGCGGAGAAAACGGAAUUCCACAAGUAGCGGUGAAAUGCGUAGAUAUGUGGAAGAACACCGGUGGCGAAAGGCGGUUUUCUAGCUUAUUCCUGACGCUAAUGCGCGAAAGCAAGGGGAUCAAACAGG